UAACCAUGGUGCAGACAUUUUCUCAUCAUUUCCUUGAAUCGCUCCAAUGCUUCGAAUAGCAAUUCUCGAUCAUCCUUCCUAAAGAAGGUAAUUUGUUUCCUUAACUGUGUCA